GCUGCUCAGGAGGCUGAGUCAGGAGGAUUGCUUGGGCUGUGGUGUGCUUUGCUCUGGGCUGUGGUGUGCUGUGCUGAUCAAGUGUCCACAGUACGUUUGGCAUCAGUAAGGUGACCCAGGAGCAGGGAGCCACCAGAUUGCCCAAGGAACCAGCCCAAGAUGGAAACAGCAGGUGGGAACUCCCAUGCUGACCAGUAGUGGGAUGGCGCCUAUGAAUAGCUACUGCACUCCAGCCUGGGCAACAUAGAGAGACCCCAUCU
ensembl:misc_RNA Metazoa_SRP Metazoan signal recognition particle RNA